GACGUAGGGCGCGAGCGUUGUCCGGAUUUAUUGGGCGUAAAGAGCUCGUAGGCGGCUUGUCGCGUCGUCCGUGAAAACCUGCAGCUCAACUGCAGGCUUGCGGUCGAUACGGGCAGGCUGGAGUUCGGUAGGGGAGACUGGAAUUCCUGGUGUAGCGGUGAAAUGCGCAGAUAUCAGGAAGAACACCCGUGGCGAAGGCGGUUCUCUGGGACGGUACUGACGCUGAGACGCGAAAGCGUGGGGAGCGAACAGG
rnacentral:rRNA from 1 species